AAUAGAUACCCGGGUAGUCCACGCCGUAAACGAUGAGUGCUAAGUGUUAGAGGGUUUCCGCCCUUUAGUGCUGAAGUUAACGCAUUAAGCACUCCGCCUGGGGAGUACGGCCGCAAGGCUGAAACUCAAAGGAAUUGACGGGGGCCCGCACAAGCGGUGGAGCAUGUGGUUUAAUUCGAAGCAACGCGAAGAACCUUACCAGGUCUUGACAUCCUCUGACAACCCUAGAGAUAGGGCUUCUCCUUCGGGAGCAGAGUGACAGGUGGUGCAUGGUUGUCGUCAGCUCGUGUCGUGAGAUGUUGGGUUAAGUCCCGCAACGAGCGCAACCCUUGAUCUUAGUUGCCAUCAUUAAGUUGGGCACUCUAAGGUGACUGCCGGUGACAAACCGGAGGAAGGUGGGGAUGACGUCAAAUCAUCAUGCCCCUUAUGACCUGGGCUACACACGUGCUACAAUGGACGGUACAAAGAGCUGCAAGACCGCGAGGUGGAGCUAAUCUCAUAAAACCGUUCUCAGUUCGGAUUGUAGGCUGCAACG
rnacentral:rRNA from 1 species